CUUGUUUGCCCGAUAUAAGGAUUCCAAACCACAAGCCUAGUAUUGUCUCCCUUUAAGAUGCAUAACAAUAAAACCCUCACAAUGGAAAACUUCAGAUAUCUUGACUUUAUUUGAAUCGUUUAAGAAAGUAAG
rnacentral:sRNA from 1 species